rnacentral:rRNA from 1 species
GACGAACGCUGGCGGCGUGCCUAACACAUGCAAGUCGAGCGGAGGCGGAGGAUAGCCCAGCGAUGGGUUGGAGACUGCUUUAGCGGCGAACGGGUGAGUAACACGUGGGCAAUCUGCCCUCUGGAGCGGGAUAACAGACCGAAAGGCUUGCUAAUACCGCAUGAGGCCGUACCCUCGCAUGGGGGGAACGGUCAAAGGGGGAAACCCGCCGGAGGAGGAGCCCGCGUCCCAUUAGCUAGUUGGCGGUGUAACGGACCACCAAGGCGAUGAUGGGUAGCCGGCCUGAGAGGGUGAACGGCCACAUUGGGACUGAGACACGGCCCAGACUCCUACGGGGGGCAGCAGUGAGGGAUUUUCGGCAAUGGGCGAAAGCCUGACCGAGCGACGCCGCGUGAGCGAAGAAGGCCUUCGGGUCGUAAAGCUCUGUCUAGGGGGAAGAGGAACGGACGGUACCCCUCGGAGGAAGCCACGGCUAACUACGUG